AUGUUCCUUUUUAUUUUUGUUUCGAAUUGGUCGGGUGCUUUGAUACCUUGGAAAAUUAUAGAGUUACCCCAUGGGGAAUUAGCAGUGCCCACGAAUGAUAUUAAUACUACUGUUGCUUUAGCUUUACUCACGUCAGUGGUAUAUUUUUAUGUUGGUCUUAGCAAAAAAGGAUUGAGCUAUUUCAAGAAAUAUAUUAAACCAACUCCAAUCCUUUUACCAAUUAACAUCCUAGAAGAUUUCACAAAACCAUUAUCGCUUAGCAGGAAUAUAUUGGCGGAUGUAUUAGUUUUUGUUGUUCUUGUUUCUUUAGUCCCCUUAGUAAUCCCUAUACUAGUCAUAUUUCUUGGAUUAUUUACAAGCAGUAUUCAAGCUCUUAUUUUUGUAACAUUAGGCGCAACCUAUAUAGGUGAAUUCAUGGAGGGUCAUCAUUGA
rnacentral:rRNA from 1 species